AGAGUGAGGGAAGGGGUGACUAGUGGCAGAGUGAGGGAAGGAAGGGGUGACUAGUGACAAAGUGAGGGUGGUGGUGACUGUCACUAGUCACCACCUCCCUCACUCUGUCACUAGUCACCACCUCCCUCUGUCACUACUCCCUCCCUCCUUCUGUCACUAGUCACCCCCUCCCUCACUCUGUCACCUGUCACCCCCUCACUCU